AAGACAUUAAAACUGUGAGAUGGAGGGAACAUUUGUAUCCAAUAAUUACCAUUUCCUUCAUUUUAUAUUAAUUCAGGAUGGUUUCCCUUUUGUUUCUUAAGCUUAAAUGGUGCUGUAUUUUUUUCUGAAACAGUUGGAAUAUGCUUCUAUUCAAGGUGAUUUGCAGCUGCUUGGGCAACCAGUUCUUUUUUUUCCUUGAACAAAUGCUGAAGGGCAUUAUUUGGGAGUGAGAAGUUUGAUGGGGUGGGUGACUUCCAAAUAUUUUUCUAUUCAAGAAUGUUGUAUAUUAUUGCAAUGUAUUUCCAGAAAAUGGUUAUUCAGGACACCACUUUUCACAUAACGUUUCCUACAGGGUCACAAUCAUAUAGUAAAACAUAUGUACACAUAUAAUACACACAGUGUUCAUGAGGACAAUAGAACAAAACCCCCCUUGAUUGUAGGUCAUAUUUCAUCAUGGUAGUUGUUCACCAAAAAUAAGAUAUGUAAUUUAAGAUUUAGGCAGUCAACCGACAUGCCUGAUUAUAUAGUAUAGACCUCUCGCUGUGCCUCUGUGUGAGGUAAUUAGGAAAGGAUAUAAAGCAAAAAGGCACAAUCCUUGCUCUUGAGCAGGAUACAAUCCAAUGUGUCAGAAAGAGAAAUAAACACAGUCAUAACACUGUGAAUUGAUUGCUGUAGUGGAGGCACACAGGAGUAUAACUGGCAUUCCAGGAUGCAAGUGGAUAACUAAACCUUGAAGAAUAUGUAAGGAUUCUUUUAUCCAACAAGGAGCAGAGGGAUAUUAGAUAAAGCUACCAAUACAUGCAAAGUCCUAUAUGUCAGGAGAGUGCGGAGAAAAAGAGAAUGAGCUGGGUGGUCAGGCGAAGAGAAGUAAAUUUAUUAAAGGGAAACGAAGGGGAGACCGACCCUUGAGAAGAGGGUCCCCCUGCCCUUCUGGUGGGUGCAGACGGAAAAUUGGAUCCCCUGAAGGCAGAUUAGUUUAUCUUGAGCCUGCAGCUGAACUCUGGUGGUCACAGUCUUGAGAAAGCUGGAGGUGUCCCAUGGAAAAGUGGUCUCGUCGUCUUGGGAAAGUCGGCACCAGUGGCGAAAACAGGAUCGCUCAUUAAAGAAUAGGAAAGAAAAUUAUGGCUGUUUUUUUAAAACAAGAAAACCUAUAGUUAGAAUUGAACAAUGAUAAAAACAAGGUGUCAGUUCAGACCACAGAGAUAAGUAUUUGCAUGGUUAAGUAAGGAAUUAUCUAAACUAGAACCAGAGUAAAAACCCUGUGACAGAGGUAGCUUAAGUCAUAAGAUAUUGUGGCAUAAGGUCAAGUAGUCUUCCUUUGCUGGGCUCUUCCCUGGAAUCAACCAAGUAAAAUGUUAUCAUUCUGAAUAAACACCCACAUGUGUACAAAAAUUUGCAUUCCUAAUUGUGUAAUAUAUAAGAGGAGGCUUCCAGAUUGUAUAAGCUUUGGGCCCCCAAAUUCUGGACUCUCCUUGCCUAGAAGAUAAUCCAUGAAAGGAUUAGAAAAGUAAUACCAGAAGUCAGGAUAGCAAAGUAACUGACUUAAUUUUGGAAACUAAGUAAUUCAAUUGUAAAGAGUUAUUGCUAUUAUCUACAUAUGAUGGACAAAACAGUUAUGUUUUCGUUUUCACUUCCAAACAUAUAAAUGUUUUUUCCUCACCAGUGGGGGUUUAUAUGCUGCUCUCAACUACCCAUCCCAGCCCAACUUGGGGAGAAGUCUCCACUGAUCACAAGAACACCUGUUCUCUAAUUCCUCAGAGAUGUGGUAUGCACAGGUUAAAGUGACUUAAUGAAGACGAGCUGAAAUGUGGUCCAUGACAAAAUUACAAAGAACAUAUAGGAAGGAAGCAAGGUCAAUUAAUAAAGUUUCUAUCCUAUUAUUUAAAAACUGCUUAAAGAGAGAUUAUUUU
rnacentral:lncRNA from 1 species